rnacentral:rRNA from 1 species
GACGAACGCUGGCGGCGUGCUUAACACAUGCAAGUCGAACGGAAAGGCCCUGCUUUUGUGGGGUGCUCGAGUGGCGAACGGGUGAGUAACACGUGAGUAACCUGUCCUUGUCUUUGGGAUAACUCCUGGAAACUGGGGCUAAUACCGCAUAGGAGAUCCUGCUGCAUGUGGGGGGUUGGAAAGUUUCGGCGGUUGGGGAUGGACUCGCGGCUUAUCAGCUUGUUGGGGGGGUAGUGGCUUACCAAGGCUUUGACGGGUAGCCGGCCUGAGAGGGUGACCAGCCACAAUGGGACUGAGGUACGGCCCAGACUCCUACGGGAGGCAGCAGUGGGGAAUAUUGCGCAAUGGGCGGAAGCCUGAUGCAGCAACGCCGCGUGCGGGAUGACGGCCUUCGGGUUGUAAACCGCUUUCGCCUGUGACGAAGCGGGAGUGACGGUAAUGGAUAAAGAAGCACCGGCUAACUACGUG